GGGCCUGUAGCUUAGUUUGGAAGAGCGCCUGGCUCAUAACCAGGCGGGCAGGGGUUCAAAUCCCCCCAGGCCCA
rnacentral:tRNA from 2 species